CUCUAUCACAACUUAAUUUCAUUUGGUUUUGCAAACUGUAAUUUUGUCCAUAUCCCUUACUUAGCUACAUUUAUACAUUUAUAGGGGUGACCAGAUUUUAGAGAAACACAUCUCAGUGAGGAACUAAUUCUACAAUGAUACAAUCUGCAACAAACUUGAACAUGAUUUCCCCUCGCCUCUUUCUACACAGUAAAGGAUUCAAGU